rnacentral:misc_RNA from 1 species
GAUGAAGAACGUAGCGAAAUGCGAUAAGUAAUGUGAAUUGCAGAAUUCAGUGAAUCAUCGAAUCUUUGAACGCACCUUGCGCCCGCCAGUAUUCUGGCGGGCAUGCCUGUUCGAGCGUCAUUUCAACCAUCAAGCCCCGGGCUUGUGUUGGGGCUCUGCGGCUGCCCGCAGGCCCUGAAAACCAGUGGCGGGCUCGCUGUCACUCCGAGCGUAGUAGCACUCGUAUCUCGCUCAGGGCGUGCCGCGGGCUCCGGCCGUUAAACCGCCUCUUUAGCACCCAAAGGUUGACCUCGGAUCAGGUAGGAGGACCCGCUGAACUUAAGCAUAUCAAUAAGCGGAGGA